rnacentral:tRNA from 1 species
GCCAUAGUGGCACGAGUCAGGCUUAAGGCAUCCGCCCUGAAAGCGGAAGUACGGAAGUACCAGGGGUUCAAAUCCUCUCUAUGGCG